rnacentral:rRNA from 1 species
UACGUAGGGGGCGAGCGUUGUCCGGAUUUAUUGGGCGUAAAGAGCGUGUAGGCGGCCAUACAGGUCAGCUGUGAAAACUCGAGGCUCAACCUCGAGACGUCGGUUGAAACCGUAUGGCUAGAGUCCGGAAGAGGAGAGUGGAAUUCCCGGUGUAGCGGUGAAAUGCGCAGAUAUCGGGAGGAACACCAGUGGCGAAGGCGGUUGCCUGGAGCUUUGCUGACGCUGAGGCGCGAAAGCGUGGGGAGCAAACAGG